UUUAUUAUUCUUGCUUUGUUUGAGAUCCUUUCUCAGAAAAUGAUUCAUAAAAACAGUAGUUACAUUUUAACUGAACAGUUACUCUGACUGCUGCCUUGUGGCUUGCAAAAUUACUCCAGCAGACUAAUUUUGGAGUGGGAUGUUUUGUCCUUUGACACGAUGCUCCCGUACAAGCAGUUCUGUGCAAUUGCCUCAGUCCUUUCAUCUCAUUACAGUAAAAUGACGUUGUGUCCCAUUAAUUCAGCAGGUGCUGGUUGCAGUGCCCAGACACAUGCCAAGCAUGGAGUCUCCCAGAACAUUAUUGGCUGACAGAGGCAUCUCCCACCCUUUUCAGAUAUCAAAGUUAUUUGUCCUCUGCCCUCAGGGUAAAGUUGGUUUGCAGGAAGUAUCGGGAAAGCAAUCUAAGCCUUAAAAUAGAAAGGCAUACACAAGGGAACACCUUUCUUAAGGGUGGAAAGCAACUUCUAAUUAAAUAGGGGGAGAGCAAGUAGCAGUCUCCUCCUUUAAUGCACCAACACAUGGACUAUGUGCAAUAUGGGUAACAAAACUCUUGCAGGGACACAUUCAAGGUUGACUGAUUCCCAAUGAAAUCCACCUUAAAAUUACUGAACCAGUUUUUGGUAUAUUGUCCCCUUCCCACACAACAUGGCAGCUUCUUUCCUGAGUAGCAUAGGGAAAGCACAAGCUCUGCUUGGAGGAAGAUGAUGGAGCUGGAGUCAAACAGUGCCUGUGAGCUCCCACAACUCUCCUGUGUGCAGAGGUGCCUGCGUACAUGCAAACUUGUUUCUACCUGAUGUGUAAAUCAAGUAAAUCUAUGGGUCAUUAAAAAUGACAAUUUUUACCCAAACAGAAGGUGCAGAAGGUGCAAGAUGGGCUCUAGCACAAAUACAUUGGAUAACAUUGUUGGAAAAGAGGAUUCAUAAAAGUUUAAGUCCUUGGUGACACCCACCUUGGAAACAAUUCAACAGCCAGUCCUGUUUUUUUCCAGUACCAGUUCAUGUUAUGUUCUCAGAGCUAUGUACGCCCUGGGAGCCUGGGCUUGCUCCUGUUCCAGGAGCUCCAGCAUCAAAGAAGUGACUUUUGCCUUUUUCUUUCCACUCCAGGAAGCUCAUAGCAUUUAGUGCCUUAAAUCCCACACACCAGGCUUUCACCUCCAGCAGCUUUCCUGCCUGCCAGUGCUACUACAUUUUGUUCCAUCCAGCCUGGGACCUUGAGGUGAGAGCAGAUUCUCCUCACAGGCAGACUCUUCAGCACCUUGGGAAAGAAACUUUUCAGCUGCACUUAGCAUUUCUGAUCUCAGUGUUGGCUGCUGCCCAGCCUGCUCAAAUGGUUUGCACCAUUGCCAGUGGGAAAGCUUUUAUAUAAGGGAACAUAAAUAAUUUUCAAAAGUGCUUUAACUGUCAUAAAGUGUCUUAAUGGGUAGCAUUUAAUCUAAACAGAAAAUCCCAAAUGCCUACGUCAAUUAUAUGGGUUGUUUUUCUUAAAGUUAGAAGUCAGAAUGUUCUUUUUUUAUUUACAUUUUAUUACUUUAUGCCAGUAUGAGGGAACAUUUUCUGUUAAAUUUAGGUCAUGUUUGUAAUCUCUCGACUUUCAGGGUUUUAUAUGAGAUUCAGAACUCCCCUUCCACCCACAGAGUUGAGGCUGCUGGCAGCAAUGCCUAAUGCUUGCUCAAGCCUGAGAAGCUGCCUGAGGUCCAGGAAAUCUAGAGUUAAAGCUGACUUACUUCAGUUACUUUAAAAGCAUUUAAACAAGUGGUAGGGGUGCCUGGAGAUCUGUAGCUAAUCUACUUCUGCAUUUCUAGGGUCCUGUCCACAAAGAUGAGUAUUUCAAGUUUGUAGUAGACAGUGGGUGACCAUCACCCCUCAUUUAGGCAAGGACAAGGGGCUGGUGGAGCUGAUCCUCAGGUAGGGAACAUAAGAGGACAGAGACAAGGUGACAGAUCAAAAAGUGUUUUCACUAAAGCAGUCUGUUUGUGCUAAUACAAGCAGAUUAUAAUUCUGACUGAAAACCAAAUCUUUUUGCUUUAGGGAGAUGAAAAGCAGUUCCCAGGUUAUAUGAAUAAGACCAGGUCAACAACUUGAUUUUUGUGGAAAUUCACCAUUUGCACAGAUAGCUGGGGAGACAUACCUUCAAAAGUAGGACCACAAACUGACUCUCCUUCAUCUCCCUUUCCAGUUAUGGUAUCUGCAGGGUAGAUAAAAUAAUCAUCAGAGACCAUGGUUAUCACAGGCAUUUGUCACAGGGCUCUCAGUGAGCAGCUCAGCUGAGGUCAGAGAUGUGGGUUGUCCAUCACCCUGGGGGAACAACCGCUUCCAUCUCUGUUUCACUGCUGAAAUUUUGACAGACCUUUGGGCAGAGCCCUGCUUCCACUCCAGAAGACAAUCUCUCUAUUAAUUAUUUCCUGCAGUGUGUUUAAUUGCUAUGCUCUGAGAAGGUCCAGCAUCUCCUGCUGGGAGAGCUAUGGCAGUGGCAGCACUGAGCCAUGGAAGGAGUGCCCCAAAGAAGGGCAUCUGUCAGAGGGAGUGAGGUCAGAAGAAAGAAGGAUGAAAAUGCAGCUGUGAUUUUAUGGAACGAAAUCCAGGGUACACAGGAAGCAUGUGGCAGAGCAGAGGACUGAAGCCAGCUCUUUCCAGAGCUAUUGAUGGAUGCUGUCAGUAAUACUUAAAGGAUGAAGAGACUCUUGCUAAUAGCAAUUGCCCAGCAAAAAGUGGGAAAUGUGAAAGUCUGGUAUCCACAAAUUUCUGUGGCAAUGAGAUUUACAGCUUAAUUACACCCUGUGUAAAGUGUGUGCCU